rnacentral:snoRNA from 1 species
AACUCCUAUCUAACUUACAGACAGGUGCAAAAAAUAAAUCCUCUUUUGCAACCUAGGAUUCAUUGUACAGUAUGAAUUUUGAUGCAUAUAAGAAGGAAUAUG